rnacentral:rRNA from 1 species
GCCGGUAAGUGAAGCGUGGCAGUGAGACUGCGGGGGGAUAAGCUUCGUAGUCGAGAGGGAAACAGCCCAGAUCAUCGGCUAAGGCCCCUAAGCGUGUGCUAAGUGGGAAAGGAUGUGGAGUUGCUGUGACAACCAGGAGGUUGGCUUAGAAGCAGCCACCCUUGAAAGAGUGCGUAAUAGCUCACUGGUCAAGUGAUUCCGCGCCGACAAUGUAGCGGGGCUCAAGCACACCGCCGAAGCCGUGGCACUACACCGUGUCCCCUAGCCCCUUGGGGUUCAGGGGGUGUGGUGGGUAGGGGAGCGUCGUGCGUGGGGAGAAGCUCCGGGGUGACCCAGGGGUGGACUGCGCACGAGUGAGAAUGCAGGCAUGAGUAGCGAAUGACGGGUGAGAAACCCGUCCGCCGAAUGACCAAGGGUUCCAGGGCCAGGUUCAUCCGCCCUGGGUAAGUCGGGGACCUAAGGCGAGGCCGACAGGCGUAGUCGAUGGAUGACGGGUUGAUAUUCCGUACCGGCGAAGGACCGUCCAUACCGAGCCCGGUG